GAUGAACGCUGGCGGUGUGCCUAAUACAUGCAAGUCGAACGGGCUCUUCGGAGCUAGUGGCGGACGGGUGAGUAACACGUUGGUACCUACCCCUAAGUGGGGAAUAACUGCCCGAAAGGGUGGCUAAUGCCGCAUAAUCCCGCAAGGGUAAAGCAGUAAUGCGCUUAGGGAGGGGCCUGCGUCUGAUUAGCUAGUUGGUAGGGUAAUUGCCUACCAAGGCGACGAUCAGUAGCUGGAUCGAGAGGUUGACCAGCCACACUGGGACUGAGAUACGGCCCAGACUCCUACGGGAGGCAGCAGUAAGGAAUCUUCCACAAUGGACGAAAGUCUGAUGGAGCAACACCGCGUGCAGGAUGACGGUCUUCGGAUUGUAAACUGCUUUUAUAUGGGAAGAUUAUGACGGUACCAUAUGAAUAAGGACCGGCUAACUACGUGCCAGCCGCCGCGGUAA
rnacentral:rRNA from 1 species